rnacentral:lncRNA from 1 species
UGGUCUAUUCAGGGAUUCAACUUCUUCCAGGUUUAGUCUUGGGAGGGUGUAUAUGUCCAGGAAUUUAUCCAUUUCUUCUAGAUUUUCUAGUUUAUUUGUGUAGGGUGUUUAUAGUGUUCUCUGAUGGUAGUUUGUAUUUCUGUGGGGUGUGUCUGUGUGUGUAGAGAGAGUUCUGUAGGUAUCUAUUAGGAUGACUUGAUCCAGAGCUGAGUUCAAGUCCUGAAUACUUUGUUAAUUUUCUGUGUCAAUGAUCUGUCUACUAUUGACAGUGGGUUGUUAAAGUCUCCCACAAUUAUUGUGUGGGAGUCUAAGUCUCUUUGUAUGUCUCGAAGAACUUCUUGUAUGAAUCUGGGUGCUCCUGUAUUGAGUGCAUAUAUAUUUAGGAUAGUUAGCUCUUCUUCUUGAAUUGAACCUUUUACCAUUAUGUAAUGCACUUCUUUGUCCUUCUUGAUCUUUGUUGGUUUAAAGUCUGUUUUGUCAGAAACUAAGGGAUAUAAUUUGGCUGUGUCCCCACCCAAACAUCAUCUUGAAUUGUAGUUUCCAUAAUUCCCAUCUGUUGUGGGAGGGAUCCAGUGGGAGGUAAUUGAAUCAUGGGGGUGGUUAUCCCCAUGCUGGUGUUCUUGUGAUAAUGAGUAAGAUCUGAUGGUUUUAUAAGGGGUUUUUCCCUCUUCGCUCUUUCUUUUUUCUCCUGCCACCAUGUGAAGAAGGACAUGUCUCUUCCCCUUCUGCCAUGAUUGUAAGUUUCCUGAGGGCUCCUCAGUCAUGCUGAACUGUGGGUCAAUUAAACUUCUUUUCUAAUAAAUUACCCAGUCUCAGGUAUGCCUUUAUUAGCAGCACGAGAAUGGACUAUUACAGUAAAUUUGCAACCCCUGCUUUUUUUGUUGUUUUCUAUUUGCUUGGUAAAUUUUCUUCCAUCCCUUUAUUUUGAAUCUGUGUGUGUCUUUGCAUGUGAGAUGGGUCUCUGGAAUACAGCACACCAAUGAGUCUUGACUCUUUAUCCAGUUUGCCAUUUUGUGUCUUUUAAUUGGGGGCAUUUAGCCUACUUACAUUUAAGGUUAAAAAUUGUUAUGAGUGAAUUUGAUUCUGUCAUCAUUAUGCUAGCUGGUUAUUUUGCAGACUUGUUUAUGUAGUUACUUCAUAGUGUCAUUUGUCUGCAUUUUUGUAGUGGGUGGUAAUGGUUUUUCCUUUCCAUAUUUAGUACUUCCUUCAGGAGCUCUUGCAAAGCAGGCCUAGUGGUGACAAAUUCCCUCAGUAUUUGGUUGUCUGAACAGGAUUGUAUUUCUCCUUUGCUUAUGAAGCUUAGUUUAGCUGGAUAUAAAAUUCUCAGUUGAAAAUUUUUUUUUUUUAAAGAAUGUUGAAUAUUGGCCCCCAAUCUCUUCUGGCUUAUAGGGUUUCUGCUGAGAGGUCUGUUGUUAGUCUGGUGGGCUUCCCUUUGUAGGUGACCUGGCUUUUCUCUCUGCUGCCCUUAAAAUCUUUUUCUUCAUUUUGACCUUGGCGAAUCUGAUGAUCAU